rnacentral:rRNA from 1 species
GACGAACGCUGGCGGCGUGCCUAAUACAUGCAAGUUGAGCGCUGAAGGUUGGUACUUGUACCAACUGGAUGAGCAGCGAACGGGUGAGUAACGCGUGGGGAAUCUGCCUUUGAGCGGGGGACAACAUUUGGAAACGAAUGCUAAUACCGCAUAAAAACUUUAAACACAAGUUUUAAGUUUGAAAGAUGCAAUUGCAUCACUCAAAGAUGAUCCCGCGUUGUAUUAGCUAGUUGGUGAGGUAAAGGCUCACCAAGGCGAUGGUACAUAGCCGACCUGAGAGGGUGAUCGGCCACAUUGGGACUGAGACACGGCCCAAACUCCUACGGGAGGCAGCAGUAGGGAAUCUUCGGCAAUGGACGAAAGUCUGACCGAGCAACGCCGCGUGAGUGAAGAAGGGUUUCGGAUCGUAAAACUCUGUUGGUAGAGAAGAACGUUGGUGAGAGUGGAAAGCUCAUCAAGUGACGGUAACUACCCAGAAAGGGACGGCUAACUACGUG